AGGCCGAAAGGCGUAGUCGAUGGGAAACAGGUUAAUAUUCCUGUACUUGGUGUUACUGCGAAGGGGGGACGGAGAAGGCUAUGUUAGCCGGGCGACGGUUGACACGGUUUAAGCAUGUAGGCUGGUUGUCCAGGCAAAUCCGGAGAAUCAAGGCUGAGGUGUGAUGACGAGGCACUACGGUGCUGAAGUAACAAAUGCCCUGCUUCCAGGAAAAGCCUCUAAGCAUCAGGUAACAUUAAAUCGUACCCCAAA
rnacentral:rRNA from 1 species